rnacentral:rRNA from 1 species
UACGGAGGGUGCAAGCGUUAUCCGGAUUCACUGGGUUUAAAGGGUGCGUAGGUGGGCAGGUAAGUCAGUGGUGAAAUCUCCGGGCUUAACUCAGAAACUGCCAUUGAUACUAUCUGUCUUGAAUACCGUGGAGGUCAGCGGAAUAUGUCAUGUAGCGGUGAAAUGCUUAGAUAUGACAUAGAACACCAAUUGCGAAGGCAGCUGGCUACACGAAUAUUGACACUGAUGCACGAAAGCGUGGGGAUCAAACAGG